ensembl:snoRNA
GUCCAUUUGUAGUUAUAAGUGUGAUGACUGGGUUUUCACACAUAGGAGAGAUGUGUCUCCCUCAAAUCUUAUUACCCAUCUGACA